rnacentral:rRNA from 1 species
GACGUAGGGCGCGAGCGUUGUCCGGAUUUAUUGGGCGUAAAGAGCUCGUAGGCGGUUUGUCGCGUCGUCUGUGAAAACCCACGGCUCAACUGUGGGCUUGCAGUCGAUACGGGCAGGCUAGAGUUCGGUAGGGGAGACUGGAAUUCCUGGUGUAGCGGUGAAAUGCGCAGAUAUCAGGAAGAACACCGGUGGCGAAGGCGGGUCUCUGGGCCGUAACUGACGCUGAGGAGCGAAAGCAUGGGGAGCGAACAGG